rnacentral:rRNA from 1 species
GAUGAACGCUGGCGGCGUGCUUAACACAUGCAAGUCGAACGGAAAGGCUCCUGCUUGCAGGGGUACUCGAGUGGCGAACGGGUGAGUAACACGUGGGUGAUCUGCCCUGCACUUCGGGAUAAGCCUGGGAAACUGGGUCUAAUACCGGAUAGGACGAUGGUUUGGAUGCCAUUGUGGAAAGUUUUUCGGUGUGGGAUGAGCUCGCGGCCUAUCAGCUUGUUGGUGGGGUAAUGGCCUACCAAGGCGUCGACGGGUAGCCGGCCUGAGAGGGGGUACGGCCACAUUGGGACUGAGAUACGGCCCAGACUCCUACGGGAGGCAGCAGUGGGGAAUAUUGCACAAUGGGCGCAAGCCUGAUGCAGCGACGCCGCGUGGGGGAUGACGGCCUUCGGGUUGUAAACUCCUUUCGCUAGGGACGAAGCGCAAGUGACGGUACCUGGAGAAGAAGCACCGGCUAACUACGUG